rnacentral:lncRNA from 1 species
CGACCUUGUAUAUUUUCGAAUUGAAAUAGCUGUUAGCCUGAAAAAUUGGAAGCAAAUCGGUGCGUGACAAUUUUGGAAUAUGGAGCCCCCAUUAAGGGGAGUGAGUUUUGUGGGGUCCAGCCCCAUAUGUAACUCCUUUUUGUCAAGCCAGCCAAAUUAACAAAAAGAUUUGGGCGACUGACUAAAGGAUUUGGGCGGCUGACUUUUGCAGUAGAAAUGAUGUCACUGCAUACAUCUACAUGGAGUUUCUGCAACUAUAAAUGGGUAUCUCUACCUUCAUUGUAAGACACACCAACAAAGAGAGAAAGAAAGAGUGAGGUUUCACANNNNNNNNNNNNNNNNNNNNNNNNNNNNNNNNNNNNNNNNNNNNNNNNNNNNNAAAGAGUGAGGUUUCACAGAUAAGGUAUAAGAAAAUAGUCUGUGAGAAAAAUAGAGAGUGAGCGAUAUUGUAGUAAGGUGGGAAUAUCAAAAGAUGGCUAUUUCUUUUGAGUGUUGUAGUGAUCUUUGGAGUAUAUUACUCAUAACUACAAAGUGUAAAAUUCCUUACUAUAGUGAUAUCAGUUGCUUCUCUCGAGGCCGUAGUUUUUUCCCUUAUUCAGAAGGGUUUUCCACGUAAAAAUUUUGGUGUCAUUGUUACUCUUUUAUUCUUGUUAAUUACCAUAUUUUGGUGCUACAUUAUUAUUCCGCUGUUAUUACCGUGAAUAUUAUUUUGGUAGGGGGUUUAUUCCCAACAAGUUUAACAUAAGAGUGUCAAAUAUGCGACAUAAAUAGAAUUUGGCGGAUCAAAAUGGAAGAAUCAAUAUAUUUGAGGGCUAAUGAUCCCCCUCCCCCUCCCCCGCCCCUCCUUCUUCAAGUAUUACUUGGGCUAAUAAGGGCUUGAUAAAGAUAUGCUAAACAGUGAAGUGAUAAAGCAUAGCUCAAUUCAAAAAAUUUGACCAAGGUUUAAUUUCUUUCUGAUGUUAUUAGAUGCCAUAAAAAGUGUAGCUGUGUAGAGAAUUAACUUUAUCUAAAUCUUUCAUUCAUUUCUUUAAAUUGACGAUAUUUAAAAAAGGAAAAUGAAGAAUAAUCAUUCUUACACUAUAUUAUUCCUCGUACAGUUUUGUUUUGCUUUCGCAUAGACUCAUAUAGUGUUGAAGAACUUAAGUUGGCGAUGGUGACCGAUGAAACACAAGGAAAGAUUUAGUGGUGGGUCUGCACAUCUAAUUACCACCUAAACUAAUACCCUGAUUAGGGGUGCACAUAGGCCGGGUUGGUUCGAAUUUUACAAUUAUCAAAUCAAACCAAUUGUAUCGGGUUAUUAAAUUUAAAUACCAACCAAACCAAUAAACUCGGGUUUUUCGCUCUCGGAUUUUUUCGGGUUUCGGAUUAUUCGGGUUUUUUCUAAACUUUUUUCAAUAAAAUCUUCAUAGAACAAAAUAUAUAAAUUAUGCUCAAAAUAUUUCUCUAAUCCUAGUAAGAUACAAUUAUAUAAAAUAUUUUCCAAGAAAAUAAUACAAAAUAUGAGAUGUGUCAUGGCAUUAUCCUAAAAUAUUCAAUAACGAAGAUAAUAAAAUUGUGUUAUAUCAAUAUUGCUAAAUAAAAAGCCAUAAUAAAAUAAAUAUAAUCUAAAAAUACUAAGUCAUGCUAAAUAAGUAGACUAAUAAGGGAAUAUUAAAUACAUGACUAAACGCUAAAGAAAAAAUAAAAAUAGGUUGUGCAUUUAUCUAUAUUACUGCAAAAAAAUAGAUAUUCAAUACAUUCUCGUUAUAGUAUUGAAUUGAAUGUCUUUUGUUAGCAUUAAUAUUGAUUUGAUUUUGAUUUUAAUUUGGCUUUUGUUCGAUUUAUUUAAUUUACUAAUAUUAAUGGC